UUGCCUAUUUACCAUAUUGUUGAAAUUCAUCAUUAUUGUUAAGUUGACUUAGAAAACAAUCUUUGAUUUUGACUUUUUCGAUUAUUAAGGCUAUUUCUUCAGAUGUAUGAGAGGAUUUUUCUCAAACCUCAUUGAUAUAAAUGUUCUCCUUUGUCCUAGGUUGUGCGCCAAUUUGAUUUUUGAGUCUGAUCUAGUUUAACAAAAUGGCAGACAGUUGACGUUUGAGUAUGAUGAUCAGGAGGAAAUAUGAAUGAACAGUGGUCCAACAAUGUGUAUGCUGCCUUUCAUCAAUCACCAACUGAAAAGUUUCAAAGAAACAGUGGAUACCAAUGUGUAAAUGAGGCUGAAAUUCUGACUAAUAAAUAAUAAAACAAGGGCAAGAUAUGAACAUCAUAUAGGUAUAUGUACAAACAGAAAUGCUUGAAAAAAGAAUAUCCCAGGUAGCCCUUGACUAAAGAUCAAACGGUCAUGAAAGAAACAAUAGUUUUUGGUAAUACCAUGUUGUGAAAUAUAUGUUACCUGCUGUAAGAUGUAGGAUACCAGGUGUGAGAUUAAGUUACCUCAGGUGUGAGAUAUGUUACCUCCUGAUGUGAGAUGUCGGAUACCGGGCAUGAGAUGUAAGUAACCUGAUGUAUGUUGUAAGUUACCUGGUGUGAGAUUUAAGUUACAUGGUGUGAGAUAUGUUACCUGGUGUGAGAUGUAAGUUACAUGGUGUGAGAUAUGUUACCUUGUGUGAGAUGUAAGUUACCUAGUGUGAGAUAUGUUACCUUGUGUGAGAUGUAAGCUACCUGGUGUGAGAUAUGUUACCUUGUGUGAGAUGUACGUUACAUGGUGUAAGAUGUAAGUUACCUGGUGUGAGAUGUUAGUUACCUGGUGUGAGAUGUAAGUUACUUGGUGUGAGAUUUGUUACCUUGAGUGAGAUGUAAGUUACCUUGAGUGAGAUGUAAGUUACCUUGUGUGAGAUAUGUUACCUGGUGUGAGAUAUGUUACCUUGUGUGAGAUGUAAGUUACUUGGUGUGAGAUUUGUUACCUUGAGUGAGAUGUAAGUUACCUUGAGUGAGAUGUAAGUUACCUUGUGUGAGAUAUGUUACCUUGUGUGAGAUGUAAGUUACCUGGUGUGAGAUAUCUUACCUUGUGUGAGAUGUUAGUUACCUGGUGUGAUAUAUGUUACCUUGUGUGAGAUGUAAGGUACCUGGUGUGAGAUAUGUUACCUUGUGUGAGAUUUGUUACCUUGUGUGUGAUGUAAGUUACCUUGUGUGAGAUAUGUUACCUUGUGUGUGAUGUAAGUUACCUGGUGUUAGAUGUAAGUUACCUUGUGUGAGAUGUUAGUUACCUGGUGUGAGAUGUAAGUUACCUUGUGUGAGAUGUUAGUUACCUGGUGUGAGAUGUAAGUUAUCUGGUGUGAGAUAUGUUACCUUGUGUGAGAUGUAAGCUACCUGGUGUGAGAUAUGUUACCUUGUGUGAAAUGUAAGUUACCUGGUGUGAUAUGUAAUUUACCUGGUGUGAGAUAUGUUACCUUGUUUGAGAUGUAAGUUACUUGGUGUGAGAUUUGUUACCUUGAGUGAGAUGUAAGUUACCUUGUGUGAGAUGUAAGUUACCUGGUGUGAGAUGUAAGUUAUCUGGUGUGAUAUAUGUUACCUUGUGUGAGAUGUAAGUUACCUGGUGUGAGAUGUAAGUUACCUUGUGUGAGAUGUUAGUUACCUGGUGUGAGAUGUAAGUUUCCUGGUGUGAGAUGUAAGUUAUCUGGUGUGAGAUAUGUUACCUUGUGUGAGAUGUAAGUUUCCUGGUGUUAGAUGUAAGUUACCUAGUGUGAUAUAUGUUACUAGGUGUGUAAAUAUAUCAAAAACCAUUACAUUGUAUAUGCAUUAGCCUAUUGAUUUGCCUGUUUAUGAUUAUACUCUAAAACAGACUGAGCUUCUUGAUAAAGAUUGUAUUAAAUGGGAUUUGGAGUACAUUGAACAUGUGGUUGCUAUCGUAACAGAGACUUAAUCACCUUUAUUCUUAUUAAAUAUAUGCUGGUUUACAUGA